rnacentral:rRNA from 1 species
GAUGAACGCUGGCGGCGUGCCUAAUACAUGCCAGUCGAGCGAACAGACGAGGAGCUUGCUCCUCUGACGUUAGCGGCGGACGGGUGAGUAACACGUGGAUAACCUACCUAUAAGACUGGGAUAACUUCGGGAAACCGGAGCUAAUACCGGAUAAUAUAUUGAACCGCAUGGUUCAAUAGUGAAAGACGGUUUUGCUGUCACUUAUAGAUGGAUCCGCGCCGCAUUAGCUAGUUGGUAAGGUAACGGCUUACCAAGGCAACGAUGCGUAGCCGACCUGAGAGGGUGAACGGCCACACUGGAACUGAAAAACGGUCCAGACUCCUACGGGAGGCAGCAGUAGGGAAUCUUCAGCAAUGGGCGAAAGCCUGACGGAGCAACGCCGCGUGAGUGAUGAAGGUCUUCGGAUCGUAAAACUCUGUUAUUAGGGAAGAACAAAUGUGUAAGUAACUAUGCACGUCUUGACGGUACCUAAUCAGAAAGCCACGGCUAACUACGUG